CGUACCUUGCGGAUACUCCACCAGUGUCAGAGACAACGGGACCCACUCGGUCUCGUCAGCGGCGCGUACGAAACGCGACGCGAUCCCGUCCAACGGCUCGUCGGGCGAUGCCAUCGUUAUCGCGGUCCUCGAGGAUGUGGCAUGUCUCGCGCGGACAGACUCACGGACGCGCACCGGCUGGUGAGGCUGGUCGCUGGUCGGCGUGAAGGGAGGGGACGAGCAGGAGGGGCGGAGGGGAAAGGGGUCUCGUAUUUACACCCGCAACUACGAGAUCGCGGCCGCCGCGUCGCUGUCCAUGUCCGCCUGUCCCGUCGCUGGCAUUGACCCUCGCUGUAGAUGCAGCACGUUGUUGACGAGAGGCGCCAAACAAAACGCCGUCCGUGGAAGUCGGCGAAAGCCGGAAGAAGCCUGGACGUCUCCUCCCCCUCUCUGAGCUCGAUCGGUUAGCGAUAUGCCACCGCGAAUUUCUGGUGCUCGCGUAUCGAGAUCGGAGAACGUAGAAUUUCGAUCGCUCGCGAAGAUAAAUUGAAGGAAAAUUCAGGAACCAAGAAAUUAAUAUGUUGUCUAAGGAAACAGAUUUUGCCAGAAUUGGAACUGGAUCUUGUUGUAAAUGCUGGCCGAAAACAAUGUUGCAAUCAUUUGCAUAGUUUGAAACAACACUUGAGUGAGAUUUUAGCGAAUGUAAGGCAGACUUUAGCUGUUAAAGUGCCACAAGAUAUAGCGAUGAGGGUUUAACGGAACUUCAGGCUACGCUCAUUAUGCCCACUAUAGAAAAAGUUAAAGGAGUCCUACGAGAUUUAUCGGAACUCCUGCGGGUGAUGGAUCUCUUGAUCCUUGUUGCUAGAGGACGACGGCGAGGACGUGCCCGACUGUACGUCAUCCAUCUCCA